rnacentral:rRNA from 1 species
GGGGUGGGAUGCUUUUGCGGCAUGGGAUGGGGUCGCGUCCUAUCAGCUUGUUGGCGGGGUGAUGGCCCACCAAGGCGUUGACGGGUAGCCGGCCUGAGAGGGUGACCGGCCACAUUGGGACUGAGAUACGGCCCAGACUCCUACGGGAGGCAGCAGUGGGGAAUAUUGCACAAUGGGCGCAAGCCUGAUGCAGCGACGCCGCGUGCGGGAUGGAGGCCUUCGGGUUGUAAACCGCUUUUGUUCAAGGGCAAGGCACGGUUUCGGCCGUGUUGAGUGGAUUGUUCGAAUAAGCACCGGCUAACUACGUGCCAGCAGCCGCGGUAAUACGUAGGGUGCGAGCGUUAUCCGGAUUUAUUGGGCGUAAAGGGCUCGUAGGCGGUUCGUCGCGUCCGGUGUGAAAGUCCAUCGCCUAACGGUGGAUCUGCGCCGGGUACGGGCGGGCUGGAGUGCGGUAGGGGAGACUGGAA